AUGAAUAUAGUAAAUUUAGAAAGACAUCAGAUAAUACAAAUUGCACAAUAUAUUAUUGGGAAAAAUGUCAUAAAAAUCAUCGGUUUGCCAAAAGUGGUGAAACAAAGCACUAACUUUGGGUCUCCUGAAUUAAAUUAUCAACUUUAGUUGACUUUCCUAUUAAAUCAUUAACUUUCGUUGACUUUGCCAAAUAAGGCAUGUCGUUAAGUCAACUGGCGGACCAAUUUAACAGAACUAAGUCAACGUUUACAUUUUUUAUUUAAUUCUAAAAUUUUUUAUUUAAUUCUAAAAACGACUUC
rnacentral:sRNA from 1 species